CAUUAUGUAGCACCUUAUAAGGGUGUACAAGGUGCAAUUAUUCCAUUAUAAUUUUUUUUAAAAACAUGCGCAUCUGACAGUGGAUUUGCAAUACGUGUCAUGUAGUAUUGACCAUUCAACAUGAGGUAACACCGCUCUGUUGUUACCAUGGAUCAGCCAAUCGGGGUCGACGAUUCCUUGAAGAUAAAACUCAAGAUAACCUGGGUACAGGAAUGAAUAGAACAAUAAAAAAAAAAACUUUGAUAUAUUUCAUCUUACAAAUCACAAAAUGAUACAAAGAAUAUAAAUAACUUUUGGGUUUGAAGGUCAGAUUUUUCUUUGCAUUUGUCUAGGGCUCAUCUGCUCAAAUAAUGUAGGCUGCAAUUAUCACAAUAACAAAAAAAAAACACCUUGAUACUUUACAAAAUCUUGCAACUUCAAAUCCUCACGUUUCUCUUUAAAAAAAAAUCGGCAUGAGCGAGGAUUUAUGCCUUGUGUUUUCAGACAUGGGGGUCGUUCACAGUAGUAAAUACCAAAAAAAAAAAUUUAAUCGUGCCACAUUCCCAUAAACAAAUUAUUUUGUGUGGUACUAAAUCUGGAUAAGCCUCUUAAUACUCCAUAAUCCGUACAAUUUGAAUCUACAAAAGCAAUGAAGGACAUUCAGAAGAAAAAAAACUCUUUCAAAAAUAUUGAAGUUGAGGACAUUUUUCGGCCGUGUGAAGAUUUCUUGUAAAUCCAUGUUGACACGAUUUGGAGUGCACUUCCAUUGAGAAGGGUCGUUGAGAAAGCCGAGAGUAUGCAUUGAGCUGAAAUCUUUUUACCUUGGGAAUAAAAGGACAGGAAUGUUUCUUAAGCAAUAACAGUCCAGUUCAAUAUUUCUUUACAAUUAAAAGCUUUGUUAAAGGAAGUUAAGUGUUCAUGCCCGUUCGAAAACUCAGUGGGACAUUCAAGGUUUUUUUCCCCAUGAAGGUUCUUUGCUAAUCCAUCUUGUGCACAAACUGUACUCUAAAAUAUGUUAGUUUGGUUUUUUUAUAUUUGGGGUCGAUGUGAAAAAAAAAUCUGUUUAACUUCUUGUGGUUGAAGCAUAAAAUAGGUUAUGGGAACCGGUUUAUUUUGGCUUAAAAGGGUGCUUGCUUUAGACAACAACUCAAUGUAAUCGUUUGAAUGUCUUGUGGUAUUCUUUUCAUUACGUCUAUUUGUAAUCAAAUCCAUA